rnacentral:lncRNA from 1 species
GGCCAGUAGAAGUUGGGAGCAAAGGGAGGUAUACAGCAUGGUCUCAGUAUAGGCGGAAAGUACCUGACUAUGCUGUUUUCCACAGGAAAGGGGGUGAAAGUAGCCACCUGAACAACUGGACUCUCCUGCAUGGCAUUUUGGCCCCUCUGAGGUACCUUUACACUCAUCAGCAGGAUAUGAUGAACAAGACAAGCUGCACCAGAAGAUGCUGGCACAAUCAUCCUUUCUUAGUUUUACUCCUACACAAGCAUCAUGAAACCAGUGAAGAAAAGAAGCAUGAAAACUCCCCGCUUCACAGACAG